GCAUGGCUGCAGAGGGACAGAGAGAGAAUGCACCGCGACCCAGGAAAACCAGUGACGAGCCACACCAAGAGAGGACACAGAUAAAGACAGAAUGGGAGCCGAGAGAGGGAGAACUAGAAAACAGGCAUUCAGGACAGCACGCGAGGCACAGGGAGCAGAAGACUGAGUGGGCAAAUGAGGCAAGGCAAGAGGCGGAGGAGAGACAGAGAUGAAAGACAGACAGGCAGACAGAGGUGAAAGGAAGUUGGCGAGAUGGCUAAGCCAGGGAGGAGCAGAAGGGAAGCCAGGUCCAAAGGGAGGCAUCUCUCUUUCUCUCCGUCCUGUACACACUCAGGUUUCUCCACACCCAAGCCCUUCUCACUGUCCUCUGGGCCCUGGCAGGAAUAGGAGAGGAUGGACAGACGGACGGUCUCGGGCAGCAGCAGGCCUGGGCUCGAGCACAACGGCGAGUGAGAGCGAUAUUCUCUGUCGGCCACACGCCUGUCACUUUCACCUUGCACAUCGUGGAUGCACACACUGGGACCCCGGAAAAGCUUCUCACAGUCUGCCAAGCACAGUGGUCCAGGGUGCUCUCUGAGCCUCCCUGAGCCUCUCCCUCACUCUGCUCCCCUCUGGCAUCUUCCUGGACCGCCUACCUCAAAUGACCCACCUGGCCCUCUUAUCCACCUCGUGCCCCACCCAAGAGGACUGCAAGAAGAUGGCAGCGCAAGAGGAGCCAGAAGCUGUCCCGGAGUGGCGGGGGCCGAGGGGAGACGUCCACCCUGUGCCUUGCCCCCUCCUUCCUGUGUUUGCCUCCGCCCAUCUCCACCAGGCCCGCUGUCUCCACGUGGCUGGCUCUGGAGAUAGAAGCCAAGACACAACCCACACCUUCCCCAGACCCAAGGGGCAGAGAUGCAGGCUCAGAAGGAAAGGAGGUGGCCAGGGAAGAAUGGAGAAGCUAAACUACAGAUGAAAACCAAGGGAAGGAACAAGGAAGAGGAUGCAGUAGAACUCCAGAGCGAAGAAGAGGAAAGGAACGGAGGCCAGGAACAGAGACGUGCUGGGCAGCACUGAUGGGACAGGCCAGUGGAGGCGGGGCGCUCCGGAUUUCUAGCAAACCUUACAAAACACUUGUAGGGUUGAACUCAGAUCUUUCCUGUGCUUGCCAGCCUUCACCACAGAGCUCAGAGGAGUGUUUCCCUCUAGCAGAAACUGGAGCCAAAUACCUGCCCUCAGACUUCGAGGCCUAUGCCAGGAUGCAGGACACCUGGCCUUCAUUUGCCGUGGACAACAAGGGGUCCCAGGGAUCCACUGUUCCCAAAUCUGCUAAGAAAUCUAACCCAUCUUUACCUGUUCCACAUCUGGCCAACAAACUCUCAGCUGCAGCUGUCCCCACCCACUUCAUCCAGUGACAGCAAACCCAGCCCAAGGGAUCCCGUGAUGUCUUGCCACCUCCCAGCAUCCCACAGUAGUGAACAGCCCACUCGUAUCCGGAUCCGUCCAGAGCACAACACGGCUGCCCUCAGCCUGUGCCUGCACCCUGGCUCACAAACCACCACUUAGGGAGCACCUUGCGGGUUCCACUCUGAAGCCAUCAGUCGCUCACAUCAAGAGAACUGUUGCCCCACUAGAGCCCCGUGCCAACCAUCCCGAGCCACAUGUGCAACAGCACACUCCAGACCUACAGCCAAAGUCCCCCCGUGUGGUUUAGGAGGAGGCUGACUGAGCCCAGGGGUCUGCACAAAUGCCCGAGCUACCUGCUUACUUCUGAAUCUCAUCAGCACCCCCGCCCAGCCCCUGCAGGCUCCCACAGGGAGACCACCCCCACCCUGUGGCUCAAGGCCCACCGCUUGCAGUCCUCAGUUGUCUCCUGUCCCCUCACCGGACACAGCCAUGACAACCUUCCACCCAUAGCUAAGCCCCUGCUGCCAAGGCCUGAGACUCCCUCGGGGAGCUCGGGUGCCCUGUGGCACACCCCUGGCUAGUUUGUCUGAAUCAUCUUUGUGACCCUGGGACCCAUUUCACAUGUCCUUUCAUGGAAAUAUGGGAGGACUGAGGGAGGGAGAAUCGAGGUGAUAACAGCCCUGGUACUCAGAGGGCACUAGGCCCAGGUGACUAAGGCCAGGGGGCCCCAUUCAGCACAGUUUCUAACAGUGAGUAAGAACCAGCGGGCCGGCCACCGCUUCCUACCUGAAAUUUAUGCUUUGUCCUCUUCUAGAACCUUCCCUCACUGCCUUCCUCCAUUCCCUAACCCAGGUCAAUCUAUUCCUCCAUUCCCUAAUGCAGCACCUGCAGUUCAGGUUGACAGUGUUUGAGCCUGACUUUUCAGGGACCCUGGGAGGCCCUUGUAGACCCACGAGGGUCCUCUUCUUUGCCCCUCCAAGGAUAAGUCAAGGCCUAGUGCAGAACAAAUCCCAGGAAAUGUUGGCUGCAGGAAUAAAUGGAGUUUACAUGUCUGCAGGAAUAAAUAUGAGUUUACAUGUC